rnacentral:rRNA from 1 species
UACGAGGGGGGCGAGCGUUGUUCGGAAUUAUGGGGCGUAAAGGGUGCGUAGGCGGUUUGGUAAGUCUCUUGUGAAAUCUAUGGGCUCAACUCAUAGUCUGCAAGGGAAACUGCCGGGCUUGAGUGUGGGAGAGGUGAGUGGAAUUUCCGGUGUAGCGGUGAAAUGCGUAGAUAUCGGAAGGAACACCUGUGGCGAAAGCGGCUCACUGGACCACAACUGACGCUGAUGCACGAAAGCUAGGGGAGCAAACAGG